GCCUAAUACAUGCAAGUCGAGCGGACUUGCUGGAGCUUGCUCCAGCAGGUUAGCGGCGGACGGGUGAGUAACACGUGGGCAACCUGCCUGUAAGACUGGGAUAACUCCGGGAAACCGGAGCUAAUACCGGAUAGUAUCUUGAACCGCAUGGUUCAAGUUGGAAAGACGGUUUCGGCUGUCACUUACAGAUGGGCCCGCGGCGCAUUAGCUAGUUGGUGAGGUAAUGGCUCACCAAGGCAACGAUGCGUAGCCGACCUGAGAGGGUGAUCGGCCACACUGGGACUGAGACACGGCCCAGACUCCUACGGGAGGCAGCAGUAGGGAAUCUUCCGCAAUGGACGAAAGUCUGACGGAGCAACGCCGCGUGAGUGAUGAAGGUUUUCGGAUCGUAAAACUCUGUUGUUAGGGAAGAACAAGUGCGAGAGUAACUGCUCGCACCUUGACGGUACCUAACCAGAAAGCCACGGCUAACUACGUGCCAGCAGCCGCGGUAAUACGUAGGUGGCAAGCGUUGUCCGGAAUUAUUGGGCGUAAAGCGCGCGCAGGCGGUUUCUUAAGUCUGAUGUGAAAGCCCCCGGCUCAACCGGGGAGGGUCAUUGGAAACUGGGAAACUUGAGUGCAGAAGAGGAGAGUGGAAUUCCACGUGUAGCGGUGAAAUGCGUAGAGAUGUGGAGGAACACCAGUGGCGAAGGCGACUCUCUGGUCUGUAACUGACGCUGAGGCGCGAAAGCGUGGGGAGCGAACAGGAUUAGAUACCCUGGUAGUCCACGCCGUAAACGAUGAGUGCUAAGUGUUAGAGGGUUUCCGCCCUUUAGUGCUGCAGCUAACGCAUUAAGCACUCCGCCUGGGGAGUACGGUCGCAAGACUGAAACUCAAAGGAAUUGACGGGGGCCCGCACAAGCGGUGGAGCAUGUGGUUUAAUUCGAAGCAACGCGAAGAACCUUACCAGGUCUUGAC
rnacentral:rRNA from 1 species